rnacentral:rRNA from 1 species
ACGGGUGAGUAACACGUAUCCAACCUGCCGUCUACUCUUGACAGCCUUCUGAAGGAAGAUUAAUACAAGAUGGCAUCAUGAGUCCGCAUGUUCACAUGAUUAAAGGUAUUCCGGUAGACGAUGGGGAUGCGUUCCAUUAGAUAGUAGGCGGGGUAACGGCCCACCUAGUCUUCGAUGGAUAGGGGUUCUGAGAGGAAGGUCCCCCACAUUGGAACUGAGACACGGUCCAA